CAGCCGCCACGGGAAUACGGAGGGUGCAAGCGUUAAUCGGAAUUACUGGGCGUAAAGCGCACGCAGGCGGUCUGACAAGUCAGAUGUGAAAUCCCCGGGCUUAACCUGGGAACUGCAUUUGAAACUGUCAGGCUGGAGUCUUGUAGAGGGGGGUGGAAUUCCAGGUGUAGCGGUGAAAUGCGUAGAGAUCUGGAGGAAUACCGGUGGCGAAGGCGGCCCCCUGGACAAAGACUGACGCUCAGGUGCGAAAGCGUGGGGAGCAAACAGGAUUAGAUACCCCCGUAGUCACUGUCUCUUAUAA
rnacentral:rRNA from 1 species